UACAGAGGGUGCAAGCGUUAAUCGGAUUGACUGGGCGUAAAGGGCGCGUAGGCGGUUAUUUAAGUUGGAUGUGAAACCCCCGGGCUUAACCUGGGACGUGCAUACAAGACUGGAUAACUGGAGUACUGUAGAGGGUAGUGGAAUUUCCGGUGUAGCGGUGAAAUGCGUAGAGAUCGGAAGGAACACCAGUGGCGAAGGCGGCUACCUGGACAGAUACUGACGCUGAGGCGCGAGAGCGUGGGGAGCAAACAGG
rnacentral:rRNA from 1 species